GGGCAGGGCCGGGAGCACUGGGGAGGCAGGCAAGCCCACUCUGUGGGAGUGGGGGUGUCUCCUGGGAAGGGGGAAGAAGGCAGACACCCCCCGAGCCCAAAGGCUGGGCGCGUCCCCGACUCGCCAGAGCUCCCCGGGAGUCUCUCCGGUCACUCCCCCGGCCGUGUUCCCCCCCCCGGGGGUGCCGGCCCACACGCAGCCGCAGCGCCCGGUGACCCCGGCCUGCAGGAGCCCCGCCCGCCUGCAAAGUGCCGGACUCCAGAGAGCGCUGAGGAGGGCCGGGCCGCGCAACGGGUUUAUUUUGUGCUGUCGCGCACAAAACUAUAAAGCUUUUAAGGAGAAAAAGGCAGGUUUGGGUGAACUCCUCGCCGGGCAGGCCCAGCCGCACGGCGCCGUUCCACGGCGACGGCUCCGCGGCCCCGCCGUGGCGUCUUCACCGUGGCAACCGCUACCGGGAGGAUGGGCAGGAGGGUGGGCCAAUCACAGCACGGGUCUCCGCGCUUCUAUUGGCCAGAUCGCCCCGCCGGGGUGGGACGUGAUGGGUGAGGAUUGGCGUCGUCAACAAACCAAUGGAGAGGGUCUCGCGGGGGCGAGCGGCGGGGCCGCGGCCAAUGGGCACGCGGCGUGGGCGGGCCGGGGCGCUCUGGAAGCGGAAAGGACCGGGGAAAAAUGGCGGCCCGCGCGAAGUGGGAGGACGGCGGCGCGCGGGCGGAAAACGGCACCUCACGGGCGAGUCCUCAGCUGCCCCGGGCCCUCAGAGCCACUACGAACACGUCGUGAGGCAGCUAGACCGCUUCAAGAACGUCAACUGCUGCCAUUUCUCUGGGGUCACCCCUUCUUCUGCUGUGACAGCACAGGACAGAUGGAGAGGAUCCAGAGUGCUCUGCCUUGCCACGAAGCGUCAGCAGCCUUGUCACGAGUGACAGCCAGUCCUGAUGUGGUUUUGGUGAGUUGUGGCUUCCAAGAAUGUCCUUUUUCCAUAACCUACAGUGUGUCAUUUUGACAUCAGUGAGAAAGAGAUUCUCAGAAACGGAAAUGUUUCUCAUUCAGAGCAGCUGCCUUUUAGAAUUUACAACCUGACUUGCAUUGUUUGAACGGCAACUGCCAAUAGCUCUAGCAGACUAUUUAUUAGGUGUACUUGAGCACUUAGGUAUUUGUUGUUUAUGUUUAAAAAAAGAGGCGACAGAACGUUACAGGGUUUUCCCCUGCUCUUUAGGUGGAGUGCUCUGAAGUGCUUGAUUUCUGCCUGGCUUUCGGGGGCAUGUUUCCCUGACAGUGUGGUAGCCUCUCCCUCGGGCAGUGCUGCCAGGCAGAUGUCCCUCCCCCUGGGGUGGGAGAGGAAGCAGCCCCUGG
rnacentral:lncRNA from 1 species